rnacentral:lncRNA from 1 species
UUUUUUGGGGGGGGGACCAUUUUUGUUUGUUUUUAGGGCUGCAUUCACAGCAUAUCGAGGUUCCCAGGCUAGGGUCAAAUCGGAGGAGCUGUAGCUGCUGGCCUACGCCACAGCCACGCCAGAUCCUUAACCCAGGGAUCGAACCCGCAUCCUCAUGGUUACUAGUCAAGUUCAUUAACCACUGAACCAUGAUGGGAACUCCCUGCCCCAAUUUUUAAGAUACAUAUUCCCACAUGCAUACACACGCGUAGAUACACACAGAUCACAUAAAAGUGAGUUAAAAAAAAAAUCAUGAAAACACGAACUGUGUUUAUUCCUGAGCAGCGGGACUUGGGGUGAUUUUUAAUGUCUUAAACAGGAUUUUCCCAAUGUUACCUGACUCUCCUCAUCGAGCCACACGUCCCAGGGGAAUAACCGGCCAACUGCCCAGCAAUAUAUGGCAGAGCUUGUGCGCAAAGCUGUGCUCGAAUAAAGAUAAGCGUUACUAGCUAAAUAAAUCAGUGUCUCUCUCUGCAUCGCUGGAACUGGAAAAUGUCACACAAAUGGUAUGUGAGCAGCAAGACUAUGAGGUGGAAAGGGGCCACGUUUGAGCCAAAAACCUAAAAAAUGAGAGACUACAUGUGAGAAGAAGCUAGAAGAUGGAGAAAAAUGGAGGCUGGGACUUGUCUGCAGGAAGCAAGGCCACGAUAACGGGCAGCCGUGUAGCGACAGUGAAGCUCCAUCCACUUCAGCGGCCGUGGAUCCUGCAAAUAAAUGCUCUGGGUCCCAUCCCAGCCCCAGAGACCCAACAGAACCUCGGCGACGGCUCUUUGGCGCUUAUGAAACGCCUGUCUCCUUCCGACCCUUACAAUUAAAAACCACAACAGUGCACAACAUACGAAAAUUGUGUACUUUGUACCAAAGGAAAAAAAAAAGCCUUGAAGAAAGGGUGGGGGAAAAAACUGUAAUUGCAAUGUAUACAUCUAAGGAUAACCUGACCCCCUUGCUGUACAGUGGGAAAAUAAAAAAAAAAGCCUCGACAGACCCAUUGUAAAGAGGUGGAAACACAUCAAUGCUAACAUCUGUUAUGGCUGAGGAGUGGAAUUCCAAGUGAUUUAUUUUUUAUUUCCUUACACUUUUGGCAUUUUUCAAGUUUUUCCACCAUGAACAAACAUAUAGGACUUUCAUAAUCACUGACAAAGUAAAUACACACUAUUUUUAUGGCAUGUGUGUGAAUAUGUUCUAUUGACCUCACCCUGAUAAAAACCUUCAUAAAUUUCACCACGAGUUUCCUUUCUGAACAAAGACCAAGACCUUCGCUGAUACGCAUCUACUUCCCACAUGUCUUACAACCACACGAAACAACCCAGUGUGGUUGUUUAGGGCCGGAGUCGGCGUCCAAGGUCAACAGAUUUCCCCUGCGGGGGAUCCAACACACUUAGAAAGGUCACCCCUGACUCAUCUAAUAAACGCGCGCACUCUGGCACACAGACGGCGUAGCCAUCCCCAGUGAAGGGACCUGGGUACAGUCAUCGACCUGCCUGAGCGCAUCGGUGGGCGAGGGCUGCAGAAACAGAGCUGCCCCUCGGAGGGGGCCCACCCUCCCCACGGGACAGCCCUCCGGCCCCGGCCUGCGGGCUCCUUUCUCCCACCUUCUUCCCACGAGGAGAAACCACCCCAAACGGACCAUCUAAAGGAGACAAACUCAGAGGGCACUGUGUGUGUGUGUGUUCGGCCUCCUCGUUUACCCUCCAAACGGUGCCAACGGUCCCCGUGCUGUGACCUGGACUCCCAUCCAGCAUCUCUUCGCCUUGGCACACAGAGAAGUGGUGGAAGCCUGCAGACGUCCUGAAAGCACAGCUGGGGUAUCUUGCAUGAGGCAGUGAACACUGUGCCACCGGCAGCGAGAUGAUGGCACUAAGUGAAGUCAGAGCAAGACAAACACCACGUGGUAUCGCUUAGCUGGGCCAUCGAAAAAACAGGACAAGUGAACCAAUUCGCAAAAUAGAAAGGGACUCACCGACUUAGAAAACAGGCUUUGGGGUCCCAGAGGGGAAGGGUUAGUGGGGAAGGGGGUGAUUGACGAGGAGUUUGGGGUAAACACAGACACACUAUUCAAAGAUCACUACCAAGGACCUGCUGCCCAGCACGGGGAGCUCCGCGCCAAAUUCUGUAACCGCCGAUAUGGGCAAAGAAUCCUGCAAAGAACGGCUAUGUGUGUAUCAGAAAUGAAUCCCUUUGCUGUACACCUGAAACCAACACAACGCUGUAAAUCAACUAUACUCCAAUAAAAAAUUUUUAAAAGACAGUGAACCCUUUUGGAGCUUCCAUUUUAUCUAUAAAACGAGGGGGGUGACCACGAGUCUGGAGGUGAUUUGGAAUGUUCCAACAGCUCCAGGAUCUAUGCAGAAGAGGCUAUAAAAAGAAGCGGGGCCUACCCAGGAGGACACAGAUGCCAUGAUGCUUCCCAGGCCUGCUGUCUCCGGGAAUAUUUGAAGCAACCCGGAUGACGCUCCUAUAAACACAGAUGCCCCUUCUCCACCGCGCCGUCAAGCUGCUCCCGUGUAUUUCCACUGUCCUCUGCCUGUGGAUUUGCUAUUGCAAACACACUGCCGAGAGUCGGGAGCUUGCUCUUUUCAGAUGACCCUCCAAGCUCUUUUGAGUUCUUAUGAAAAUUUUUGAUAUGUGUUCUCAAGACACAGCUAGCAAAAUAACUAGCUGGUUCUCAAAGUCCUGAACUUUAAAAGGCUUCUCAAGUACCAACUCAUGCUCCAAAGAUAAAUUUGAAAGGAGUGGAGCUGAAAUGAAUCAUAAACAUGUGGAUUAAAUUUCCCCCAAUACCGAACCUUUUGAAAACGAGAGAAAUAUGCUUGGGGAGAAAUUUUUUAAAAAAGUCUGAAUCCUACAAAACUCAAAAUCAUCUCUAAAAGGAUGAGACAUUUGCCAAAAGCUUGAGUUAAGGGGGCACCCUGUUUAAUUUCCUUUGAUCUCCUCUGCAGAUAACCCAAACGGCCAUUGGCCAUAUUCUGCAAAGCCUUGUGGGUGACUGGCCAAUGGCAGACACAACCUUGAGGUGCCCAAGGCAGUGGGCAAGCUAAGAAUGGGGCGCCCACCCCAAUGCGUGGCUUGCCGAGCUGCUCGUGGGCGCAGGAGGCCCCCUCACUUUGGGACAAUUCCCAGCACCGUAAGGGUCAGGUUCCAAAUCCAGCAUCGUCCAUGAUGACCUAAGACAGAGCAGCAGCUUCAGGUGGUUUGAUCUGGGGGAACUGCUCGCCCUUUCAACAAUGUGCCUGAAAAACAACACGUUCACAAUGGCAGCCCCCACGCUCAGCCGGGGUUCCAGCCGGCCCCCAGUCCUGACGUUCAUCACAACAUCGUCCCCUGCAGACUUAUUCUCCCCCGCAAACCACCUCCACUCACUCACUCCGGCGGCGACGCGGGACUCUCCCCCGGCGGCCCUGGACGCUCAUCCACCGUCCCUGCGAUCACCCCCAACCCCGACAUCGGGCUCCCAGCCCAUGUCUUCCAUCAGCCCCUUCGCUUCUGGGGAGCACUCAACACCCUGAACCUUGUCCACUUUUGCAUCUCUUCUCCCUGGUCCCCAAGAGAGGACGUGUCCCUGGUCGGCGUCCCGCUCUUGCUGUUUCCAUCGUAUCUGCUUCCCCUCCUGUGAAGGGCCCCCGGGAAGCAGCACUGGCCCCAAGAAGUCCCACUGCCCCCUCCACUCUUCAGGGCCCCUCCCUGUCCCCAUGCCCCAGCCUGUCCCUCUUGUUCCCCGACUCAACUGCACGGCCCUCAACUCCUUCUCCUGCCAGGGACUCCCCAUUAUAGGAGGUUUCCUCUUCCCACCCACCCAGACAAAAACCCGACCAAUGCAGCCCGCUGGCCCUUCGUACCAAGCACUUCUCACUAAUUACCUGUCUGCAUCCCCCC